rnacentral:rRNA from 1 species
UACGGGGGGAGCAAGCGUUGUUCGGAUUUACUGGGCGUAAAGGGCGCGUAGGCGGUCAGCACAAGUCAGUUGUGAAAUCUCCGGGCUUAACUCGGAAAGGUCAACUGAUACUGUGCGACUAGAGUGCAGAAGGGGCAACUGGAAUUCUCGGUGUAGCGGUGAAAUGCGCAGAUAUCGGGAGGAACACCGGUGGCGAAGGCGGUUCUCUGGGCCUUACCUGACGCUGAGGAGCGAAAGCGUGGGGAGCGAACAGG